AACGCGAAGAACCUUACCAGGGCUUGACAUGGGGAGGACGCAGCCAGAGAUGGCUGUUCCCGCAAGGGCCUCCCGCACAGGUGCUGCAUGGCUGUCGUCAGCUCGUGUCGUGAGAUGUUGGGUUAAGUCCCGCAACGAGCGCAACCCUCGCCUUCAGUUGCCAUCGGGUUUGGCUGGGCACUCUGAAGGAACUGCCGGUGACAAGCCGGAGGAAGGUGGGGAUGACGUCAAGUCCUCAUGGCCCUUAUGUCCUGGGCUACACACGUGCUACAAUGGUCGGUACAAUAGGCAGCGAAACCGCGAGGUGAAGCAAAUCCUCCAAAGCCGAUCCCAGUUCAGAUUGUAGACUGCAACUCGUCUACAUGAAGUUGGAAUUGCUAGUAAUGGCGUGUCAGCAACAACGCCGUGAAUACGUUCCCGGGCCUUGUACACACCGGCUAC
rnacentral:rRNA from 1 species